GCCGGAUCAACGCAUCUCUGAGCGCUUAGUUUCGAAGAUCGGCCCUGAACGCCGGAUGAAUGGCAGGCAAC
rnacentral:sRNA from 1 species